UUGACUUUGUCGUGCAGUGUUCACUGUAUCGGUGUUGGCGAGGUGGUGGUGGUGGGCGGCCACCUGGUAGCAGCGGGCUGGUCGGUGGCUCACCUGACGCGUGCCGCCACAUGCCGGCCACCUGCCUCCCCUGCUCGCCACCAUUGGUUGCCUCAACCCUCUCCUGCGGAGCUCAUUGGCCGAGCGGGAGCUCUGGUCCCUCCGCUCCUCGCGGGUUGGCUGAGGCGGCGCGUGGCAGGUUGUUUAGCGCACCAGGAUUGGUUCAGGACACGCGUGGAGGGUGCACCUGCCGGCGCCGGGGUAUAUAAGCUCCGGGACGCUGAGGGAAAUCACAACAGCUUCAGUCUGUAGUCGAGGUGGAGCCCCGCGCUGGGCGUCCCGCCGCCGCCCGCACCUCGCUGCCUCCACGGCUGACUCGGCCUCUCAUCCUGGAGGAAGGGUCAGCCCCCCCCCCCCCACCCCAACCCUAGUCAGCUGACGUCACCAGGCGCCAGCUUCCCGGCCCUGACUCUGUGCCGGGCCUCUCCUAGUCACCUCUAGUCUGCCAGGGCCUCCCAGCCCACCCCGGGCAGAGCCGCCAGUCGCCGCCCGCAGCCCACACAUGCAGCUUCUCACCUGAUAUGUCUAGUCGCCCUCGAGGACGGGCCGAGCCCCGGCGUGCGCGGAUGGGCGGGGCUGUGUCCAGGGGAGGGAGUGAGUAUGCAGCCGCCGUCGCCUGACCAGCCCUGCCCCGAGCCCCCGCAUGACGCACGCCUGCUCGGCUCUGUAUCGCGUGGCACCCCCCCCACACCUGGGACCCAUCCCCUCCCAAGGCCCACCUGGGCCUCAGCGGAGGAGUGGAGGUCCCCACGCUUCUAGUCGCCGCCCGUCGAGAUUUGAGCCAGUCAGAGUCUGUAGCAGAUAAGGAAGAAGACCCCUGAGUCAUCGCCGGUCCUGAGGUGCUGAGUCACCCCGCGUCCGCUGCCUCGGCGGGUCUGCCCACUAGUCAUCGCCUAGCGUAAGAGGACGAGUCUCCCACGAGCCGCCCACACCAGCUGAAGUCACUGCUGUGUCUCCUCACCUAUUUAGCCCCCUUUCAGUGUGUCAGUAUUAUACACCGAUCAGUAUUAACCCCUCACCUCCCCCCACCAGUAUUACUCUUGGUCAGUAAGAUCACUUUGUACCUGCCCCCAGUACCAGUACUCACCCACCAGCAGUACAGUAUUACUCUAGUUCAUAAGUUAAGCUUCUGCAGUAUUAUGCAUUAACUUGCAGCUUUCCUAGAUCUCCGUCAAAACUAAUCAACCAAAGACUUAGGAGUAAGAAGCCCUUUAAUCUUAGCACUCACAAGAACCAAAGAAUCUUACCAAACACGAGGGUUCGCACUGAACCUGCUAGUCUGUCUAACCAAAGAACUUGUACUAAUGUUAUGUAUCAGUAGUCCAUUUGAUCUUUACCCUGCACAGUAUUAUAACGGCCUAGCAGUGUCUCUUCACUGCCAAGGUCGUUGCUGCACUAAAAGACCCCAUCCAAAUUUAACUGCCGCUUCAAAUUUAGCUCCACAGCACCAAAAGUCUGCAACCUUUCCACAGUCAAGCGUCCGUGGCUCCCUCUGGACAGCUUCCUGUAGUUGCCACUCCAUUCAUUAGUAAUUUUGAGUUCCCUAAGCUUAAGUUUGUUCUUUCAGAUCUCUCUCACGGUCUUUUGUUUUCUAUUUGCACCAAAUUCACAGGGAAAGGCAACUUCCCUUCCCUACAUUGGGUCUUACAGCACUUAACCAAAGGUUCUUUUAACUUAUAGGGUUCACCAAAGCUCCCCCUCUAUGUGUAUCUCACUCUUUUAUAGAACUAAGAUUAAGAAUUAGAUCUCUGUUCAAGUUACCUAAUUAGGGUUAAUCUUGUCUGUCGCCAGUCCAAAGAUCUCACUAGGUUAUGUUUUCUUAUCUAAAAAUACAAAAAAAAAAUCAACAGCUACAGCUACUAACCAAAUAUGUAUUACUACUAGUCAGGUAUUUGAUCUAGUGUUUCGUCGUCGGUCUAGUCACAGACCCCAAAGAUCUCAGUGUGCCUCGUGCAUUAGUUAGUCAGCACCUGGCCGCCUUGUAUUAGCCUAAGAACAUUGUACCUGUGUGCGUAAGAUUGCGUGAAUGUAUGUAUGUUUGUACGUGUGGAAUGCUGAGUUCAGAGUGUGGCGUGCUGUCCAUUGCUGAGGUGAGGUUACUGAGGCUCUCCCACAGCACAUGCAGCACUCGCCACUCGCUCAGCACUCACCUGGUUGACCUGGCUCUCUAGUCAUUAUUUAUUUCCCACGCGUUUACCUGGUAUUCAGUAUUACGUCCUUGUACUGAUCUAGUCACUACAUAUAUAUAUUUGUAGUACCAAAGAGUCCCCAGAGUAUAUAUUUAUGUAUUUUUGUGAAUAAAAAUAUCUAAAACACGAAA